CCGCCAGAUUGUGUAAUUUUUAGUGAUGGGAAGCUUGUCAUAGUGGUUCCCUCAUUUCUUCACUACCUUGAAGUUUUAGAAGGUUCUGAUGGCGAUAAAAUGCCAGGUUGGCCUGCUUUUCAACAGUCAACCGUGCAUUCUAGUCCUCUCUUGUAUGAUAUUGAUAAAGAUGGUGUGAGGGAAAUCGCUCUAGCUAUCUACAAUGGUGAAGUGCUUUUUUUCAGGGCUUUAGGGUACUUGAUGACUGAUAAAUUAGAGGUACCACGUAUAAAAGU